CGAACGCUGGCGGCGUGCCUAAUACAUGCAAAUUGAGCAAUGAAGAUUGGUGCUUGCCCCAAUUUGAAGAGCAGCGAACGGGUGAGUAACGCGUGGGGAAUCUGCCUUUGAGCGGGGGACAACAUUUGGAAACGAAUGCUAAUACCGCAUAACAACUUUAAACAUAAGUUUUAAGUUUGAAAGAUGCAAUUGCAUCACUCAAAGAUGAUCCCGCGUUGUAUUAGCUAGUUGGUGAGGUAAAGGCUCACCAAGGCGAUGAUACAUAGCCGACCUGAGAGGGUGAUCGGCCACAUUGGGACUGAGACACGGCCCAAACUCCUACGGGAGGCAGCAGUAGGGAAUCUUCGGCAAUGGACGAAAGUCUGACCGAGCAACGCCGCGUGAGUGAAGAAGGUUUUCGGAUCGUAAAACUCUGUUGGUAGAGAAGAACGUUGGUGAGAGUGGAAAGCUCAUCAAGUGACGGUAACUACCCAGAAAGGGACGGCUAACUACGUG
rnacentral:rRNA from 1 species